rnacentral:rRNA from 1 species
CGUAUCGAGCCUUGGCAAGGUCGGUGUCUCUCCAAAGCAGGUCGUACGGUGCUCAGCAACCCGUCCCUCUCCAGCCUGCUCUUGUUCAUCAUGAGCUUCUACAGCCUUCCGGAGACGCUUCAUCACGAGAUCGCCACUGUUCAGGGCCGUUUCUUUUGGACCGGUGAGGGAGACAAGCAGAAGUACCACAUGGUUAGGUGGUCUGAAAUCUGCAAGCCUCGCGACCAGGGCGGCCUCGGGAUCAUGUCUUCCAAGCGCAUGAACAUUGCCCUCCUGACUCGGUGGCUUUGGCGGAUUGCCAACGGAGAUGGUGGCCUGUGGCUUCGCAUCAUUCAGCAGAAAUACCUCUGA